CAAGCUCAAAGAUGGGCAGAUGGAAACUGGGUGAGGAUCCUCAGCCCCAAAUCUGCAGCUGGUGAUGAUUCAGGAGCCCAGACAGACCCGGGUCUCAGCAUCAAGCCUCGGGUCUUUCGGAGAGGGAAGGAAAAGAGGAAGUCAAACUGUUUGAAGCAGUGAAAUCAGCAGCAGGAUUUUGGCAUAAUGGCAGCAAAUAAUUCCCAAGGGAGCAAUGAAGGUGCUCAAUGAGUUGCUGUGCUCAUUUGUCAGCAGAGUGUCUCUCCAUAGAGAAGAUAUUUUGCUUUAUCAUUCAGGAGAAUCAGCCUGAAGAUUCAGCCUUUAUUAUGUCAAAUAAUAAAGCCCAAAGGAUGAAUCUAA